UACGUAGGGUGCAAGCGUUGUCCGGAAUUAUUGGGCGUAAAGAGCUCGUAGGCGGUUUGUCGCGUCUGCUGUGAAAACUCGAGGCUCAACCUCGAGACGUCGGUUGAAACCGUAUGGCUAGAGUCCGGAAGAGGAGAGUGGAAUUCCCGGUGUAGCGGUGAAAUGCGCAGAUAUCAGGAAGAACACCCGUGGCUAAGGCGGCUCUCUAGUACGGUACUGACGCUGAGACGCGAAAGCGUGGGGAGCGAACAGG
rnacentral:rRNA from 1 species